UGGGGAAUAUUGCACAAUGGGCGCAAGCCUGAUGCAGCCAUGCCGCGUGUAUGAAGAAGGCCUUCGGGUUGUAAAGUACUUUCAGCGGGGAGGAAGGGAGUAAAGUUAAUACCUUUGCUCAUUGACGUUACCCGCAGAAGAAGCACCGGCUAACUCCGUGCCAGCAGCCGCGGUAAUACGGAGGGUGCAAGCGUUAAUCGGAAUUACUGGGCGUAAAGCGCACGCAGGCGGUUUGUUAAGUCAGAUGUGAAAUCCCCGGGCUCAACCUGGGAACUGCAUCUGAUACUGGCAAGCUUGAGUCUCGUAGAGGGGGGUAGAAUUCCAGGUGUAGCGUUGAAAUGCGUAGAGAUCUGGAGGAAUACCGGUGGCGAAGGCGGCCCCCUGGACGAAGACUGACGCUCAGGUGCGAAAGCGUGGGGAGCAAACAGG
rnacentral:rRNA from 1 species